AUUUAAAUAGUUUAUAUUAAAAUUUUAAUUUGUGAUAUUAAAGAAAUGAAUAUUUCAUUUUAAAUU
rnacentral:tRNA from 1 species